UACGUAGGUGGCGAGCGUUGUCCGGAUUUACUGGGCGUAAAGCGCGCGUAGGCGGCUUUUUAAGUCCUGUCGUGAAAGGUCGCGGCCCAACUGCGACAGUGCGCGGGAUACUGGGGAGCUUGAGGGCAGCAGAGGCCGGUGGAAUUCCCGGUGGAGUGGUGAAAUGCGUAGAUAUCGGGAGGAACACCAGAGGCGAAGGCGACUCUUUGGCCUGUAACUGACGCUGAGGCGCGAAAGCGUGGGGAGCAAACAGG
rnacentral:rRNA from 1 species